UACAGAGGUGGCAAGCGUUGUUCGGAAUUACUGGGCGUAAAGGGCGAGCAGGUGGCCAUCUAAGUCAGACGUGAAAUCCCCCGGCUUAACCUGGGAACUGCGUCUGAUACUGGACGGCUAGAGUUUGGGAGAGGGAUGCAGAAUUCCAGGUGUAGCGGUGAAAUGCGUAGAUAUCUGGAGGAAUACCGGUGGCGAAGGCGGCAUCCUGGACCAACACUGACACUGAAUCGCGAAAGCUAGGGGAGCAAACGGG
rnacentral:rRNA from 1 species